GUUAUUAGCUCAGUAGGUUUCAAAGCCCAGUGUGCAGAAGAUCAUGGGGCUGGUACUGGAGGCCUGUGGUAAAAAUGCAGAUUCCUGGACUCCACUUACAGGCAUUCUGAUUCAGUAGAUCAGCUGAAGCCAGAAUUCUGUUUUCUUAACGAUCAAGGACAAGUGCACUAUUGCAGGUGGUCAUUAAACCUUUGAGGAGCCACCUUUCAGGAACUGUGGGAGCAGCACCAAAAAGAAAAGGGGGUACUGCAAGAGAAGAAGCCAAAGUCCACCUCUGCCGACUUCCUGGCUGUACCACAGGAAGUCUUCUCAGCCAUCGCUGCCACAUGGGUCUCUAAACUUCCUUUCUCUUAUGACUGACAUCCCUUCUCCAUCAGAUUCCCCAGAUCUGGCCCAGACCCUGCCUAGUCAGGUAAGAAUGGAGCUAUUGUAGGAUCAGGUCCACCUUAAAAUCAUAGAAAAGUACAGGAGGAACAAAAGCAGAAUGCUACCUAAUGUCAUUGUUCCCUUGUACCAAAACAGAGGCUUUGCUAGACUUAGGUCUUUGCAACAAGAGUGCCCCCUGGAAAUUCUCUCUUCCUCCUGAAUAGUUUCUUCUGAUUUCCCCCUCCCCAACUCUAGCCCAU
rnacentral:lncRNA from 12 species